ensembl:lncRNA
CUGCCUGAUCCGGCUGUAGUGCACAUAUGAUUUGGGCUGACAAUCCAGAUCUUAGCCGGAUGAUGCUAUAACCAUUAGGUCUUACUGGUUUUGGGCCAUACACGUAUGACGGGCCAUAGCCGAUAACGCCAAACCCUGAGGAAAACCUGCAUUGGCUGGUUUGGGCCUGACCUGGCCCUGACAAGUAGUGCGGACGUCCUCCUAGCCCGCCAAAAUCUUAGUUGGACUGUUGGUCCAGUUCACAUUGGAUACAAAACACUCGUUUGUCCUCAGCCGGUUGCAAGCCAUAUUCUGCAUGUGAUUCUGCACAAUGGCAACCUGUCCAGCUAAGCUUGCUUUUUUCAUAACAGACAUGAGUGACAGUGAGCCUGAGGAGAGGUCUGAUGAUGAGCAUAUCACACCAUGGGGGAAGAUUCCCUUAAAUCUCCCAGCUUUACCCCAUUCUUUCCCUCUCACUAAGUGUCAUAGUCCUGACCCAUCUGCCAUGCUCCAAGACCUUGGUGAAGGCAGGUCCUACACAAGUCUUAGCUUCCCUACAAGUUCCAGGCCUUCUCGAUUUUCUGCCCUGAACCAUAACCCUUCAGACACCAGCCCUCUGAUACUCCCUAAUGGAAGAAAUGGCCUACAGUUUAGCAGCCCAACUUACGCACCAGGAUACCAGGACACACAAGGGUUUACUGCUGCCAGUCUUCAGGACUGAAUAAACAGAACCUUCACCAAACCCAACUCUUCUUUGGCACUACGCUUUGCUGAGUGCCUGGGCACUGCAAUUAGCUGUGUUGUAUUGGCAAUACAGCUCCAGAAAAGAUUAAGAGACCACUGCACCUUUUUCUCUCCUUUCCAAAAUAGUUGAAAAGGAAGGUUUUGAGUGAGGAACAGAAGCGUUCAAUUUGCAGUGGUCUCCUAAUUUUAACCCUUCUCUUCCUCACUCAAAACCUUCCUUUUCCACUAUUUGGAAAGGAGAGAAAAAGGUGCAGUGGUCUCUUAAUCUGUUUCCGGAGCUGUAUAUCACAAACCUUAGCCUUAUUGCUUUUAUAAACUGUUUAAAAGUACAAUUAGACUAGUAAAAAGUGUCAUACACCACAGCUGUCAGUCAAUCAACAUUCAGGAUUCUAGCCACCCGGUUUAUAAUUGUUAUUUUAAAACAGUGAGGAAUCUGGUUAAGGUAAAAGUUAGGGUAAGGUUUCAGGUUAAGAUUCAGGGUAGGGACAAGCACUAACCUUGGUCAAAUGUCAACUUUGCAGUUUUGCCUAGUUCUGCCUUCUGAAUUUAGUCUCUGCCUUCUAGGCAGAUUUGGUUAAAUUUAAAUCACUGUAACUCCUCCAAUGAGCAUUUAUUGUCUGGUCUUUUAUUACCAUAUUACGUUACAGCUGCACUUAGGUUAUGAGAGAUUGUUUUUGUAAAACAUAUUUUUGGAUACAACCAAAUAAAAACAUUUGUACCAUUUUUGCUUGAUUAUUUAUUAUUAAUAUUAUUUUAGAAUACUUUGUGAAAACACAGUUCAGUGCAUUACUCUAACAAUUCAAGAUGCUAAAUUAAU